GACGAACGCUGGCGGCGUGCUUAACACAUGCAAGUCGAACGGUGAACCUCUUCGGAGGGGAUCAGUGGCGAACGGGUGAGUAACACGUGGGCAACCUGCCCCCGGCUCUGGGAUAACUCCAAGAAAUUGGGGCUAAUACCGGAUGUUCACCGCUUCCCGCAUGGGUGGUGGUGGAAAGGGUUUCCGGCUGGGGAUGGGCCCGCGGCCUAUCAGCUUGUUGGUGGGGUAGUGGCCUACCAAGGCGACGACGGGUAGCCGGCCUGAGAGGGUGACCGGCCACACUGGGACUGAGACACGGCCCAGACUCCUACGGGAGGCAGCAGUGGGGAAUAUUGCGCAAUGGGCGGAAGCCUGACGCAGCGACGCCGCGUGGGGGAUGACGGCCUUCGGGUUGUAAACCUCUUUCAGCAGGGACGAAGCGCAAGUGACGGUACCUGCAGAGGAAGCACCGGCCAACU
rnacentral:rRNA from 1 species